CCAGACUCCUACGGGAGGCAGCAGUGGGGAAUAUUGCACAAUGGGGGAAGCCCUGAUGCAGCAACGCCGCGUGAAGGAAGACGGUUUUCGGAUUGUAAACUUCUGUUCUUAGUGAAGAAGAAUGACGGUAGCUAAGGAGCAAGCCACGGCUAACCACGUGCCAGCAGCCGCGGUAAUACGUAGGUGGCAAGCGUUGUCCGGAAUUACUGGGUGUAAAGGGAGCGCAGGCGGGAAGCCAAGUCAGCUGUGAAAACUACGGGCUUAACUUGUAGACUGCAGUUGAAACUGGUUUUCUUGAGUGAAGUAGAGGUUGGCGGAAUUCCGAGUGUAGCGGUGAAAUGCGUAGAUAUUCGGAGGAACACCGGUGGCGAAGGCGACUUUCUGGACUGUACCUGACGCUGAGGCGCGAAAGCGUGGGUAGCGAACGGGAUUAGAUACCCCGGUA
rnacentral:rRNA from 1 species